rnacentral:rRNA from 1 species
UUCCGGUUGAUCCCGCCGGACCUGACUGCUAUCGGAUUGAUACUAAGCCAUGCGAGUCUUUGCAGUAAUGCAAGGCAUACGGCUCAGUAACACGUAGUCAACUUACCCUAUGGACGAGGAUAAUCUCGGGAAACUGAGCAUAAUACUCGAUAGAUCAUAAUGCCUGGAAUGGUUUAUGGUUGAAAUGAUUCGUCGCCAUAGGAUGGGACUGCGGCCUAUCAGCUUGUUGGUGAGGUAAUGGCCCACCAAGGCGAUUACAGGUACGGGCUCUGAGAGGAGAAGCCCGGAGAUGGGUACUGAGACAAGGACCCAGGCCCUAUGGGGCGCAGCAGGCGAGAAAACUUUGCAAUGUGCGAAAGCACGACAAGGUUAAUCCGAGUGAUUUCUGCUAAAGAAAUCUUUUGCAAGUCAUAAAACCACUAGUGAAUAAGGGGUGGGCAAGUUCUGGUGUCAGCCGCCGCGGUAAAACCAGCACCUCAAGUGGUCAGGAGGAUUAUUGGGCCUAAAGCAUCCGUAGCCGGCUCUGUAAGUUUUCGGUUAAAUCCAUGUGCUCAACGCAUGGGCUGCCGAAAAUACUGCAUAGCUAGGGAGUGGGAGAGGUAGACGGUACUCGGUAGGAAGGGGUAAAAUCCUUUGAUCUCUCGAUGACCACCUGUGGCGAAGGCGGUCUACCAGAACACGUUCGACGGUGAGGGAUGAAAGCUGGGGGAGCAAACCGGAUUAGAUACCCGGGUAGUCCCAGCUGUAAACGAUGCAGACUCGAUGAUGCAUUGGCAUAUAGCCAGUGCAGUGUCGCAGGGAAGCCGUUAAGUCUGCCGCCUGGGAAGUACGUACGCAAGUAUGAAACUUAAAGGAAUUGGCGGGGGAGCACCACAAGGGGUGAAGCCUGCGGUUCAAUUGGAAUCAACGCCGGA